CCCUUAGAUGUCCCGGGCCGCACGCGUGCUACACUGACGCAUACAGCGAGCACUUUCCAGUUCCGAGAGGCUACUGGUAAUCAUCAAUAUGCGCCGUGAUGGGGAUAGAUCUUUGGAAUUCUGGAUCUUGAACGAGGAAUGCCUAGUAAUCGCAGGUCAUUAGCCUGCGAUGAUUAAGUCCCUGCCCUUUGUACACACCGCCCGUCGCUACUACCGAUUUCGAGUGGUCAGGUGAAUCUUUCGGACUGUGGGCGCCCUUGAGGUGUUCGCGGAAAGUCAGGUAAAUCUUAUCACUUAGAGGAAGUAAAAGUCGUAACA
rnacentral:rRNA from 1 species